GUGUUCUGUUUCUCAGCUGCCAUUCUGUUUUGCUUCCUGCAUCCUGGGUCUGUUAAAAGUCCCUCGUUUUCUGUUAGCUGCCCUGCCUCUCUCUCUCUUUCUCGCUGGUCGUGCUUCUGACCUCGUUGUCGAUCUCUUCGCCAGGAGCUUCCGCACACAAGGCAGAACCCAGUCAUGAAGUCCCUCUACCCCGUCGUCCGCCGUGCGGCUACGACCUACCAGCUGCACGGCCGCACAAUCCCGGAGCCGUACGACUACCUCGAGGACCCAUGUAAUGCCGAGACGAAGGAGUUCGUGCGGCAGCAAAACGAGGCAUUCGAUGCGUACAUGAAGUCCUCCAACGAGGUCCGAGACAAGAUAGUGGAGCGAGUGACGGCGAUGCUCAACUACGCGCGCACAAGUAACCCGAGUCUGCACGCUGGCAAGUAUUACUAUCAGUACAACACUGGCCUGCAAAACCAGAGCGUCAUCAUGCAGGCGACGUCUCUCAAGGACGACAAUCCGACUGUCUUUCUCGACCCGAACACUCUCAGCGCCGACGGCACCACUGCUCUCAAGGCCCACGCUUGGAGCGAGAACGAGGAGCUGUUUGCCUACAGCCUGAGCGACAAGGGAAGCGACUGGCAGUACAUCCAGGUACUCAACGCGGAGACGGGGGAACAACUUCCCGACAAGUUGAACUGGGCGAAGUUUUCGGGCAUCUCGUGGUGGAAAAAUGACGGCUUCUUCUACCAGCGCUAUCCCGAGCUCAGCGAGGACGUCGACAAGGGCGCCGAGACGGACUCGGCGCAGAAUCACUACGUGUGCUUCCACAAGGUCGGGACUGCGCAGUCGGAGGAUUUGCUCAUUCUGCAGGUGCCCGAGCAUCCCCAGUGGAUCUUAGCGGCCGAGGUGACGGACGACCACGAGUACCUCGUCAUCCGCGUCAUGAACGGGUGUGAUCCGAACAACCUUAUUUGGAUUGCAAAGCUGCCCACCACCUACGAGGAGCUGAAGAGGCCGCUGGAGUUCGUGAAGGUGGUAAACACGUUCGUCGCCCAGUACAUCUAUGUCGGCAACGAAGGCAAGAUGUUUUACAUGACGAGCACCAAGGAUGCUUCGCGCAAAAAGAUCGUUUCCAUUAACCUUGAAACGACCGAGGAAAAGGAUGUCGUCGCUGAGCAGGAGUCAGUGCUGAACCGUGCUGCGCUUGUGAAGGACACACUGAUCGUUGUGUACCUCGAGGACGUCAAGGACGUGAUGUACUACCGCAAGCUGCACGGGGCGGCGGAGAUGAAGAAAUUGGAUCUGCCGCUCGGCACCAUCACGUCCUUAUUUUCUGACUAUAAGAAGGACUUUGUCUCCUUCAAGGUCUCCUCGUUCAUGCUGCCCGGUCGCUCCUAUGUCAUGGACAUCAACAACCCGCAGGGCUCGCUGACUGUCUACAAGGACGACGUAGUGAACGGUCUCAACGUCGAAGACUACGUCACUGUGCAGCACUUUUACCAAUCUGCUGAUGGCACGAAGAUUCCGAUGUUCAUCGUGCACAAGAAGGGGUCCUUGUCCCCCCACUCACCGGUCAUGCUUUACGGCUACGGUGGUUUCGGCAUUUCGCUGACCCCCAGCUUCAGCCCGUCGCGCAUCGUCUUUCUACAGAACCUCGGCGGCGUUCUCGCCAUUCCGAACAUUCGCGGCGGCAACGAGUACGGCCAGUUGUGGCACGACGCCGGGCGCCUUACGAAGAAGCAAAACUGUUUCACCGAUUUUGUCUCCGCCGCCAAAUACCUCCACAGCAACAAAAUUGGCUCCCCUGCCACGACGGCCAUCAUGGGCGGCUCCAACGGCGGCCUCCUCGUCGCUGCCUGCGCCAAUCAGGCCCCUGACGAGUUCUCGUGCGUCGUGUGCCAAGUAGGCGUCCUUGACAUGUUCAAGUUUCACAAGUUCACCAUCGGCCAUGCUUGGAUCUCCGACUACGGCAACCCAGAUGAGGAGGAGGACUUCAGGGUACUGGAGAAGUACAGCCCCAUCCACAAUGUGCGCCCCGGCGUCAAAUACCCAGCCAUCCUAGUGGUGACCGGUGACCAUGAUGAUCGCGUGGUGCCGCUGCAUUCGCUCAAGUACGUGGCCACGCUGCAGCACACGAACCCGGAGCUGGGUGGUCCCUUCCUGGCGCGUGUGGAGGUGGCUGCAGGUCACGGCUUUGGCAAGCCCACGAGCAAGAUCAUCGCCGAGACGUCCGACAUGUACGCCUUCAUGGCGAAGAGCAUUGGUGCAACGUGGCACGACUGAGAUCGAUUUUUCUAUUUCCUGCAUUCUUCACCGUGCGCCCGUAGCCCCCGACGAGCACGUUCGCUGAUAGAUGCAUAAGCCACCACCGCUCACCUGCUUUCUGCUGCGCCACGGCUGCAUCCUCGUCGUGUAGGGCGAGCCGUCCCUGCUGCCGAGUCGGGCCAUGCACCUUGCGGGCACUUCGUGCCCGUCCUCGUCCCUUCUUUCACGUACGUGCUGCGUGAUCGGCGCCAGACGGGCCCGGGCCCACUGCGCGCAUUGACCCACGUGGGCCGCGUGCGCAGUCCGGCUCGAGGGUGGUGGCGGUGGGCAUCUGUCGUGCGUGGAGCAGCGGGGUGGUGGUCCGGGCGCAUGCCGGGUGAGCUCAGGGAGGAGGUUGGCCAGCCUCAGGCCAGGCUCCCUCUGAGACCCUGCACACCCUGCCUGUAUGCCAUGCCUCGCCCUGAGGGGCCUGGAGCCGUGGCAUUCCGCAAUGUGGUGCGGCCGCUCUCCACCCCGGCGCCUGCAGGACUCGAGGGUGCUCUCGUGAUGCUGCCGGCAUGUGCGCCUCAUCAGCCCACCUGGUCGGAUGAAGGAGGUGCCGCACAGCGCGUGCACGUGCACCGUGGUGCUCCUCGGUGUGGAUGCCUUCGCGCCUUUCUCGCUCAUCACUCGCGCCCUCCUGGCGGCCGCGUGCCUCGGUCGGAUGCGGCACACCACAUGCCAGCGGUGCUCGGCAUGCGCGCGUGUGCAUAGUGCUUGUGUGCGUUUUUCACCAUGUGGCCUGAUGUCGAAGUCAGAGACUCGCCAAGUAGCGUAUCUGUUG
rnacentral:misc_RNA from 1 species